UGGGGAAUUUUGGACAAUGGGGGAAACCCUGAUCCAGCCAUCCCGCGUGUGCGAUGAAGGCCUUCGGGUUGUAAAGCACUUUUGGCAGGAAAGAAACGUCAUGGGUUAAUACCCCGUGAAACUGACGGUCCCUGCAGAAUAAGCACCGGCUAACUACGUGCCAGCAGCCGCGGUAAUACGUAGGGUGCAAGCGUUAAUCGGAAUUACUGGGCGUAAAGCGUGCGCAGGCGGUUCGGAAAGAAAGAUGUGAAAUCCCAGAGCUCAACUUUGGAACUGCAUUUUUAACUACCGGGCUAGAGUGUGUCAGAGGGAGGUGGAAUUCCGCGUGUAGCAGUGAAAUGCGUAGAUAUGCGGAGGAACACCGAUGGCGAAGGCAGCCUCCUGGGAUAACACUGACGCUCAUGCACGAAAGCGUGGGGAGCAAACAGG
rnacentral:rRNA from 1 species